rnacentral:rRNA from 1 species
AACCUUACCUGGGCUUGAUAUCCUAAGAACCUUAUAGAGAUAUGAGGGUGCUAGCUUGCUAGAACUUAGAGACAGGUGCUGCACGGCUGUCGUCAGCUCGUGUCGUGAGAUGUUGGGUUAAGUCCCGCAACGAGCGCAACCCACGUAUUUAGUUGCUAACGGUUCGGCCGAGCACUCUAAAUAGACUGCCUUCGUAAGGAGGAGGAAGGUGUGGACGACGUCAAGUCAUCAUGGCCCUUAUGCCCAGGGCGACACACGUGCUACAAUGGCAUAUACAAUGAGACGCAAUACCGCGAGGUGGAGCAAAUCUAUAAAAUAUGUCCCAGUUCGGAUUGUUCUCUGCAACUCGAGAGCAUGAAGCCGGAAUCGCUAGUAAUCGUAGAUCAGCCAUGCUACGGUGAAUACGUUCCCGGGUCUUGUACUCACCGCCCGUCACACCAUGGGAGUUGAUUUCACUCGAAGCCGGAAUACUAAACUAGUUACCGUCCACAGUGGAAUCAGCGACUGGGGUGAAGUCGUAACAAGGUAACCGUAGGAGAACCUGCGGUUGGAUCACCUCCUUUCUAG